rnacentral:snRNA from 1 species
AAUGCUAUGAUAAGGCGGUACCAUAGCCAAUGAGGGUUAUCCGAGAUGUGGUUAUUGCUAGUUGGAAACCUGAAGCCCUAUGCAUUCCUGCACAAGCAACACCUAACAACUAGAUGUUAGGUAAGAGAGAAGCUUGGAGAAAUUAAAACAAUUUUUCUUAAU